CACAUACCAGAAGCUUGAGCCGGGGGAAGGGGAAGACAAAUUUAGAACCAGAUGUUAUAUGCGUUAGUUCCGGCACGAGGUCCCGGCGUCAGCGCAAUAGUCAUGUCGCUUGUGUGCUCUUUGACUCGACCGAAGAAGAUGUCACGCCCCCACGGGCGAACAUCAAACGGCAGAUAACGAAGCGGAAGCAAACGGACUAUUGUGGCUCCCCGACGAAAAAGAGGAAGAAA